CCAGCAGCAGCAGCAGCGGGCAGCCCCCAGAAAGCGGUGGUGUUUCAGUGUUACCUUGGCUGUGGGAGGGAGAGCACGCGUCGCUGCCACCUCCGUUACCGCCUCCACCGCCACGCUGGUUCCGCUCAGGCCACCUGCCUUCCCCCGCACGUUUUCCGCAAAGGCUUGGCUCGUGUGUCCGCACUAAGGCCUCUCCAGGAUUUGUGUGUGACUCUGCGGUAGUUCAUGAGCUCAGGCGUGUGCUGGUUUUGCUCGACGACCAGCAAGGAAAGUGCAACGCCAGUGAUCUAUUAGGUGACGAACUCAAAUCUGGAAAUCCUGAAGACGGUGCCUGAAAAUCCGGACAGCGGUGUCUGGAAGCAAUCCUCAAAUCUUUCAGUCAUUGAUUAAGCAGAGUCGUUGUUUUGAGUCAGACGCGGGUUGACUCACCGUAGCUGGGUUGAUGAGUGACUGGUGAGUGCGAGAUGAGUAAGGUGGGGAACCAGACCAAUUCUCAGGAUCCACAAGCCAUCAAUUCCAGGACCUUCGUGGGCAACCUCAACACCUUCCAGUGUACGAAGACUGAUGUAGAGCGUAUGUUCCAGCGCUACGGUCGCAUCGCAGUUUGACUUUUUGGGGACAUUGGAUAUAUGAAGCGAGGAAACAUUUCUACAAGUGACUGAACUUCUCACCACCACCACCACCACCACCACUGAGCUGGUCACGACCCCCCUGACACACCUUGUGCUGAAGAAGGCGACAACGGGGACAACUGACCUACCCACCUACCUAUCUACCUACUCACACAUCUCCUGACAAAGGAGAACUUGGCCGGAGGUUGUCUCUGUGUUGUACCCCAAGUUGGUCCCCCCCAGCUCUCAGGAGGUACCACACACACACACACACAGUCACCAUGAACGGCUACCAGAU